rnacentral:rRNA from 1 species
AUUGAACGCUAGCGGCAGGCCUAACACAUGCAAGUCGAGCGGAGUGGCGGACGGGUGAGUAAUGCAUAGGAAUCUGCCCGGUAGUGGGGGAUAAAGUCCGGAAAGGGGCGCUAAUACCGCAUACUAUAAGAACAGCCUAGGUCGGAUUAGCUAGUUGGGGGGGUAAAGGCAUACCAAGGCGACGAUCCGUAACUGGUCUGAGAGGAGGAUCAGUCACACGUGAACGGAGACACGGUCCAGACUCCUACGGGAGGCAGCAGUGGGGAAUAUUGGACAGUGGGCGAAAGCCUGAGUCAGCCAUGCCGCGUGUGUGAAGAAGGUCUUCGGAUUGUAAAGCACUGUAAGUUGUGAGGCGGUACCAACAGAAUAAGCACCGGCUAACUUCGUGCCAGCAGCCGCGGUAAUAC